rnacentral:rRNA from 1 species
CAAUAGCCGCGGUAAUACAGAGGGUGCGAGCGUUAAUCGGAUUUACUGGGCGUAAAGCGUGCGUAGGCGGCUUCUUAAGUCGGAUGUGAAAUCCCUGAGCUUAACUUAGGAAUUGCAUUCGAUACUGGGAAGCUAGAGUAUGGGAGAGGAUGGUAGAAUUCCAGGUGUAGCGGUGAAAUGCGUAGAGAUCUGGAGGAAUACCGAUGGCGAAGGCAGCCAUCUGGCCUAAUACUGACGCUGAGGUACGAAAGCAUGGGGAGCAAACAGGAUUAGAUACCCCGGUAGUCCCUGUCUCUUAUAC